GACGAACGCUGGCGGCGUGCCUAAUACAUGCAAGUAGAACGCUGAAGGAGGAGCUUGCUUCUCUGGAUGAGUUGCGAACGGGUGAGUAACGCGUAGGUAACCUGCCUGGUAGCGGGGGAUAACUAUUGGAAACGAUAGCUAAUACCGCAUAAGAGUAGAUGUCGCAUGACAUUUGCUUAAAAGGUGCAAUUGCAGCACUACCAGAUGGACCUGCGUUGUAUUAGCUAGUUGGUGAGGUAACGGCUCACCAAGGCAACGAUACAUAGCCGACCUGAGAGGGUGAUCGGCCACACUGGGACUGAGACACGGCCCAGACUCCUACGGGAGGCAGCAGUAGGGAAUCUUCGGCGAUGGACGGAAGUCUGACCGAGCAACGCCGCGUGAGUGAAGAAGGUUUUCGGAUCGUAAAGCUCUGUUGUAAGAGAAGAACGAGUGUGAGAGUGGAAAGUUCACACUGUGACGGUAUCUUACCAGAAAGGGACGGCUAACUACGUG
rnacentral:rRNA from 1 species